rnacentral:rRNA from 1 species
GUUAGUCUAAAAAGGUACAGCCUUUUAGAAAUGGGUACAACCUUCACUAGAGAGUAAGAUCUAAAAAUACCAUAGUAGGCCUAAAAGCAGCCAUCAAUUAAGAAAGCGUUAAAGCUCAACAACAAUAGUAUUAUUAAUCCCAGCAAUAACAUUAGCCAACUCCUAGAUUUAAUACUGGACUAUUCUAUUACUAAAUAGAAGCAAUAAUGUUAAUAUGAGUAACAAGAAAUAUUUUCUCCUCGCACAAGUUUAAGUCAGUAACUGAUAAUACCCUGACCGUUAA